CAGGAUGAUUAUUGGGCCUAAAGCAUCCGUAGCCGGCUCUGUAAGUUUCGGUUAAAUCUGUACGCUCAACGUACAGGCUGCCGGGAAUACUGCAGAGCUAGGGAGUGGGAGAGGUAGACGGUACUCGGGAGGAAGUGGUAAAAUGCUUUGAUCUCUCGAUGACCACCUGUGGCGAAGGCGGUCUACCAGAACACGUCCGACGGUGAGGGAUGAAAGCUGGGGGAGCAAACCGGAUUAGAUACCCGGGUAGUCCCAGCUGUAAACUAUGCAAACUCAGUGAUGCAUUGGCUUGUGGCCAAUGCAGUAUUGCAGGGAAGCCGUUAAGUUUGCCGCCUGGGAAGUACGUACGCAAGUAUGAAACUUAAAGGAAUUGGCGGGGGAGCACCACAAAGGGUGAAGCCUGCGGUUCAAUUGGAGUCAACGCCAGAAAUCUUACCCGGAGAGACAGCAGAAUGAAGGUCAAGCUGAAGACUUUACCAGACAAGCUGAGAGGUGGUGCAUGGCCGUCGCCAGCUCGUGCCGUGAGAUGUCCUGUUAAGUCAGGUAACGAGCGAGAUCCCUGCCUCUAGUUGCCAUCAUUACUCUCAGGAGUAGUGGGGCGAAUUAGCGGGACCGCCGCAGUUAAUGCGGAGGAAGGAAGGGGCCACGGCAGGUCAGUAUGCCCCGAAACUCUGGGGCCACACGCGGGCUACAAUGGUAAUGACAAUGGGUUCCGAAUCCGAAAGGAGGAGGUAAUCCCCAAACAUUACCACAGUUAUGACUGAGGGCUGCAACUCGCCCUCACGAAUAUGGAAUCCCUAGUAACUGCGUGUCAUUAUCGCGCGGUGAAUACGUUCCCUGCUCCUUG
rnacentral:rRNA from 1 species